UCUCUUCAGGGAAGGGUGAAAAUCCUUACCGGUGGUAAAAGCCCACGAGCCGCAUGGCAGACCUGGUGUAAUUCCGGGGCCGACAGUAUAGUCUGGAUGAAAGAAGA
rnacentral:ncRNA from 1 species